rnacentral:rRNA from 1 species
CAGACCCCAGGUCAGGCAGGAUCACCCGCUAAGUUUAAGCAUAUCAAUAAGUGGAGGAAAAGAAACUUACCAGGAUUCCCCUAGUAAUGGUAAGCGAAUCGGGAAGAGCCCAACUUGAGAAUCGGGUGCCCCCGGCAUUCGAAUUGUAGUAUGGAGAAGCGUCUUCAGCGGUGGACCGGGCCCAAGUUCCCUGGAAAGGGUUGCUGGAGAGGGUGAGAGCCCCGUUGUGCCCGGACCCUGUCGCAUCGUGAGACGCUGUCCGUGAGUCAGGUUGUUUGGGAAUGUAGCCCCAAUUGGGCGGUAAAUUUCGUCCAAGGCUAACUACGAGCAAGAGACCGAUAGCGAACAAGUACCACGAGGGAAAGAUGAAAAAGACUUUGAAAAGAGAGUCAAAGAGUGCUUGAAAUUGUCAGGAGGGAAGCAGAUGGGGGUCGACGAUGUGCCCCGAUCGAAUGUGGAAUGGCAAGAGCCGAUCCAUCGAUCGGCUCAGGGCGUGGACCGAUACAGGUCAUGGCGACGGCCCAAGCCCAAGCUUUCGAUGUGCCCGCGAAGAUGUCAUCACUGCGAUCGUGGAAUGCAGCACGUGCCAUCUCGGCAUGCCCCGACACCAGCGUGCUCCAGGCAUUGGCCUACUGGCUCCCCAUCCGACCCGUCUUGAAACAUAGACCAAGGAGUUUGACAUACGUGCGAGUCAACGGGCUAGAAAACCUGUAAGGUGCAAGGAAGCUGAUUGGCGGGAUCCUUCGCGGGUGCACCAUCGAUCGGCUUGAUCUUCUGAGAAGGGUUCGAGUACGAGCAUGCCCUUGAGACCCGAAAGAUGGUGAACUAUGCCUGAGUGGGGUGAAACCAAAGGAAACUCUGGUGGAGGCCCGUAGUGAUACUAACAUGCAAAUCGUUCAUUUGACUUGGGUAUAAGGGUGAAAGACUAAUCAAACCGUCUAGUAGCUGGUUUCUUCUGAAGUUUCCCUCAGGAUAGCUGGAGCCCCCAUCGAGUUCUAUCAGGUAAAGCUAAUGAUUGAGGCAUCGAAGGUGCAGAACCUUGAUCUAUUCUCAAACUUUAAAUAGGUAUGACGGCGUGGCUGCUCCGUUGAGCCGUGCCAUAGAAUUGAGAGCUCCAAGUGGGCCAUUUUUGGUAAGCAAAACUGGUGAUGCGGGAUAAGCCAGAAGCUGGGUUACGGUGCCCAACUGUGUGCUAACCCAAAACCCAUAAAGGGUGUUGUUUGAUUAAGAUAGUAGGACGGUGGUCAUGGAAGUCAAAAUCUGCUAAAAAGUGUGUAACAACUCACCUGCCAAAUCAGUUAGCCCUGAAAAUGGAUGGUGCUUAAGCGCGUGACCUAUACCCAACCGUUAGGGCAAGGGUCAAACCUCGAUGAGUAAGAGGGCUCGGUGGUCACCGUAAAACCUAAGGUGUGAGCCCGGGCUGAGCGGCUGUCUGUGUAGAUCUUGGUGGCAGUAGCAAAUAUUCAAAUAAGAACUUUGAAGGCCGAAUAGGGGAAAGGUUCCAUGUGAACGACACUUGCACAUGGGUUAGUCGAUCCUAAGAGAUGGGGGAAGCCCGUCCGACAGCGCAUCUCAUGCAAGCUUCGAAAGGGAAUCAGGUUAAAAUUCUUGAACCGGGAUGCAAUGACUGACGGCAAUGUUAGAGAGUUCGAAAACAUCGGUGAGGGCCUCGAGAAGAGUUAUCUUUCUAUUUAACGGCCCGCCCACCCUGGAAAUGGCUCAACUGGAGGCAGGGUCUAGCGGGCGGAAGAGCACCGCACGUCACGUGGUGUUUGGCGCACCUCUGAUGGCCCUUGAAAAUCUGGAGGACCGAGUGUCGUCCGUGCUCGAUCAUACUCAUAACCAAAUCAGGUCUCCAAGGUGAACAGCCUCUGGUCGAUGGAACAAUGUAGGCAAAAGAAGCGGCAAAAUGGAUCCGUAACCUCGAGAAAAAGAUUGGCUCUGAGGGCUGGGCACAGGGGGUCCCAGUCUCGAACCCGUUGGCUGUCGAUGCACUGCUCGAGCUGCUCCCGCGUGUCGACCAGGGGACGAACUGGGAACGGCUCGCUCAGGGGCCUUCCUGAAGUGACGAACAAUUGACUCAAAACUGGUACAGACAAGGGGAAUCCAAUUGUUUAAUUAAAACAAAGCAUUGCGAUGGUCCUUGCGGAUGCUCAUGCAAUGUGAUUUCAGCCCAGUGCUCUGAAUGUCAAAGUGAAGAAAUUCAACCAAGCACGGGUAAACGACGGGAGUAACUAUGACUCUCUUAAGGUAGCCAAAUGCCUCCUCAUCUAAUUAGUGACGUGCAUGAAUAGAUUAACGAGAUUCCCACUGUCCUUGUCUACUAUCCAGUGAAACCACAGCUAAGGGAACGGGCUUGGUAGAAUCAACGGGGAAAGAAGACCCUGUUGAGCUUGACUCUAGUCCAACUUUGUGAAAUGACUUGAAAGGUGUAGGAUAAGUGGGAGCCCCCAAGCGAAAUUGAAAUACACUACUUUUAAUGUUAUUUUACUUAUUUCGUGAAUUGGAGGCGGGGCACGACCCCUUCUUUUGGACCUAAGGUCAGCCUCGGUCGAUCGAUCCGGGUGAAAAACAUUGUUAGGUGGGGAAUUUGGCUGGGGUGGCACUUCUGUUAAAAGAUAACGCAGGUGUCCUAAGAUGAGCUCAACGAGAACAAAAAUCUCUAUGGAACAAAAGGGUAAAAGCUCGUUUGAUUCUGAUUUCCAGUACGAAUACAAACUGUGAAGCGUGGCCUAUCGAUCCUUUAGACCUUCAGGAUUUGAAGCUAGAGGUGUCAGAAACGUUACCACAGGGAUAACUAGUUUGUGGCAGCCAAGCAUUCAUAGCGACAUUGCUUUUUGAUCCUUCGAUGUCAGCUUUUCCUAUCAUUGUGAAGUAGAAUUUGCCAAGAGUUGGAUUGUUCACCCACCAAUAGGGAACAUGAGCUGGGUUUAUAUCGUCAUGAGACAGGUUAGUUUUACCCUAUUGAUGGCGAUGUCACGAUAGUAAUUCAACCUAGUACGAGAAGAACCGUUGAUUCGCACAAUUGGUCAUUGUGCUUGGUUGAAAAGCCAGUGGCACGAAGCUACCAUGCGCUGGAUUAUGAUUGAACGCCUCUAAGUCAGAAUUCAGGCUAGAAGCGGCACGCGCACCCGUCGCCUGAUUGCCGACUCACAGUAGGGGCCCAUGGCCACCAAGGGCACGUGUCGUAGGUGCAGCCUCCACGGUAGACGAGCCACGUGGGCCUCCUUGGAGCUCAAUUCUCACCGAG